CAGCCGCCGCGGUAAUACGUAGGGGGCGAGCGUUGUCCGGAGUUACUGGGCGUAAAGAGCGCGUAGGCGGGUCUUUAAGUGAGGGGUGAAAGGUUCAGGGCUCAAUCCGGACACUGCCUUUCAUACUGGAGACCUUGAGUGUGGGAGAGGCGAGUGGAAUGGUCGGUGUAGCGGUGAGAUGCGUAGAUAUCGAUCGGAACACCCAUGGCGAAGGCAGCUCGCUGGCCUAUAACUGACGCUGAGGCGCGAAAGCGUGGGGAGCAAACAGGAUUAGAUACCCCGGUAGUCCCUGUCUCUUAUA
rnacentral:rRNA from 1 species